CUGGUUGAUCCUGCCAGUAGUCAUAUGCUUGUCUCAAAGAUUAAGCCAUGCAUGUCUAAGUCCAAGCUGUGUCUUGACACGGCGAGACCGCGGACGGCUCAUUAAAUCAGUCGUUGUCCAAAUGGGCCAGUACUCAGUACUUGGAUAACUGUGGUAAUUCCAGAGCUAAUACAUGCAACUCAUACUCCGAGGAGAUGUCUCACGACUGACCCGACGAGUGCUUUUAUUAGACCAAGCCGCUGGGGCCUUCUUUACGGGGGGCCUAACUGGCAGUGUGGUGACUCUGGAUAACCUGUUUUUGACAAGCGCACGUACCUCUUCGUGAGGACGGCGCUGCCACUUUCGAGUGUCUGCCUUAUCAGCUGUCAACCGCUCGCUACACGCGACCGAUGGCUUUGACGGGUAACGGGGAAUCAGGGUUCGAUUCCGGAGAGGCAGCCUGAGAGACGGCUACCACGUCCAAGGACGGCAGCAGGCACGCAAAUUACCCAAUCCCAGCACAUCCUGGGGGAGGUAGUGACGAAACAUAACGAAGCGUGCGCCCUUCGCGGGUCUCGCUAUCGGAAUGAGCACUUUUCUAAACACCCUGUUGAGAACCUACUGAAGGGCAAGUCUGGUGCCAGCAGCCGCGGUAAUUCCAGCUUCAGUAGCAUAUAUUAAAGUUGCUGCGGUUAAAAGGCUCGUAGUUGAAUGUCUGUUCCGGGUCGCGGCAGGUGGACGAUGGAGAUGUGCUGUUGCUGCCCUCGUGGUUAGCACACACACACGCUCCCGUCCGUUAACACCCUCCGCGCUCGCGUACAAGAAGGCGUCUACGCGGUGCAGGGUCGCGGGGCUCCUUCGGGGGUCUCGUCUUUGUACCGAGUGACGCUGGUGUCACCCUGAGUAAAUCAGAGUGCUCAAAGCAGUCGUAUGGGGUUUUGCCCUUUUAACACACGGAGUGUGGCCACGCUUCCUUGUGUCGUGUGUGUCAUGCUCUUAGAGGAUGGACUUGGUUUUGCAUGGUAUGUCGGAAUACGACGUCGGGCGCUGGCUAAAGGUUGUAACAGUGGUAUAAGCCAGCCUUGACGUAAUGAUUAAAAGGGCUUGUCGAGGGCAUUGGUAUUGCGAAGCGAGAGGUGAAAUUCUAUGACCUUCGCAAGACCUCCUGAAGCGAAAGCGUCUGCCAAGGAUGUUUUCAUUAAUCAUGAACGAAAGUUAGAGGAUCGAAGGCGAUCAGAUACCGCCCUAGUUCUAACCCUAAACGAUGCCAACCAUCAAUCCGUCGAGCACCCUUCUUGACGGGCUCGACGGGCGGCUCCUUUUUCACGGGAAACCAGAGUCUCUGGGUUCCGGGGGGAGUCUGGUUGCAAAGCUGAAACUUAAAGGAAUUGACGGAAAGGCACCACCAGGCGUGGAGCCUGCGGCUUAAUUUGACUCAACACGGGCAAUCUCACCAGGCCAGGACUCUAGAAUGAUUGACAGAUUGAGAGCUCUUUCUCGAUUUAGUGGAUGGUGGUGCAUGGCCGUUCUUAGUUGGUGGAGUGAUCUGUCUGGUUAAUUCCGAUAACGAACGAGACUCUCCCCUGCUAACUAGUCGGUUGGAUCUUGAUCUGCGUGUCGCAUGGUCACACUCGCCGUGAUUCUGCUUCCCAGCUUUCUUGCGCUUGUGUGCGUGGUCUUUCGCUCUUGCAGUGGGAGGUCGUGUGUGCUUGUGUGUGGAUUGUGUUCGGGGGUCUUCGCGUGCGGGAGUGUACCUGCACUCCAAGUCCGCCGGCCCUUCAUGGGUCUUAAAGAUUUCUUCUUAGAGGGAUCAACGGCUCUGAAGCCGUCAGAGACUGAGAGCAAUAACAGGUCUGUGAUGCCCUUAGAUGCUCUGGGCCGCACGCGCGCUACAUGCUGGGCACACAGGUAUUUCUUCCUGCUCCGAGAGGAGCGGGUAACCCUCUGAAAGCUCUUUUGCUAUUGUCCUCUCUUCCUGUGCGUCGGUGCUUCGUGUGCUGGCGUUGCAGGGGAGAGCAGCGUGCUUGGGCCUGGGGCUUGCAAUUAUUCCCCACAAACGAGGAAUGCCUAGUAGCGGUGGGUCACUGAGCCCGCCGUGACUCAGUCCCUGCCCUUUGUACACACCGCCCGUCGCUACUACCGAUUGGGUGUACCAGUGAGAGCCUUGGACUGGCCGAGCCGCCCCACAAAGGCGGUCUCUGGACUGAAAGAGGUCCGAACUGGUGCACUUAGAGGAAGUAAAAGUCGUAACAAGGUUUCCGUAGGUGAACCUGCGGAAGGAUCAUUA
rnacentral:rRNA from 1 species